UUUGCCUAAAAUAAAAGGUCCAGCCUGCCCAGUGACAAUGUUCAACGGCCGCGGUAUCCUGACCGUGCGAAGGUAGCGUAAUCACUUGUUCUUUAAAUGAGGACUAGUAUGAAAGGCACCACGAGAGUCAUACUGUCUCCUCUUUCCAAUCAGUUAAACUAAUCUCCCCGUGAAGAAGCGGGGAUAACUAUAUAAGACGAGAAGACCCUAUGGAGCUUUAAACUAAUAACACUUGCCCAUUUCUCCUUUUAAUUUCAGAAAAAUCUACUACCUUGGCAUCAUACUUAUAAGUUUUUGAUUGGGGUGAUCACGGAAUAAAAAAUAACCUCCGCAAUGAAAGACUCUCCCUGACUAAGUCAAGAACCACAACUCUACACAUCAACAUAUUGACACAAUUGACCCAAUUUAUUGAUCAAUGAAC
rnacentral:rRNA from 1 species